UGGGGAAUAUUGGACAAUGGGCGAAAGCCUGAUCCAGCCAUGCCGCGUGGAUGAUGAAGGCCUUAGGGUUGUAAAAUCCUUUCGUGGGGGACGAUAAUGACGGUACCCCAAGAAGAAGCUCCGGCUAACUUCGUGCCAGCAGCCGCGGUAAUACGAAGGGGGCUAGCGUUGUUCGGAUUUACUGGGCGUAAAGCGCGUGUAGGCGGGUCGUUAAGUUGGGGGUGAAAUCCCGAGGCUCAACCUCGGAACUGCCUUCAAAACUGGCGACCUGGACCCAAGUAGAGGCAAGUGGAAUUGCGAGUGUAGAGGUGAAAUUCGUAGAUAUUCGCAGGAACACCAGUGGCGAAGGCGACUUGCUGGACUUGUGGUGACGCUGAGACGCGAAAGCGUGGGGAGCAAACAGGAUUAGAUACCCCAGUAGUCCCUGAGCGGGCUGGCAAGGCGCAU
rnacentral:rRNA from 1 species